GGCGAGGUAGCUCAGUUGGUUAGAGCGCAGGAUUCAUAACCCUGAGGUCGGGAGUUCAAAUCUCCCCCUCGCUACCA
rnacentral:tRNA from 1 species